GCCACUGUGGUGUAGUGGUUUGAGCACUAAACUAUGACUCUGGUGACCAGAGUUUGAAUCCCUGCUCAGCCA